rnacentral:piRNA from 1 species
UCUUCAAGUGAAGAGCUCGCUAAAGGUC